GGAGGGAUGGCCGAGUGGUUGAAGGCGCACGCUUGGAAAGCGUGUUUAUCUUACGGUAACGAGGGUUCGAAUCCCUCUCCCUCUU
rnacentral:tRNA from 1 species